GCUCUUUGACCGCGCGCGUGUGGGCGCUGACCUUGCGGGACUUCUCCAGCAGCUUGCUCACCGUGUUGCUGGUGGAGGCCUGGUACUUGGAGAGCUUGGUGAGGUCAUUCUGGAUGCCCUUCACGGAGCCCUCCAAACUGAUCUGUCGCUGCUCCAUCUUGUGCUGGUUCUCCUGCACAGCGUCUAGCAUGUUCACCAGCUUGUCCAGGAGCGUGAGCACCGUGACUGCGUUCACCUUUCCAGUCAGCAGAACUAGAAUCAAUAUGUAGGAUUCAUGGGUAAACAGAUUUUUAUUCUAUAUAAGGACGGUCAUUCUGCUUAUUAGUUGUACAAUGAUGGAAUGUAUGUCUGCAAGCAAAAGCUACAAGAUCUUAUGGAGAAAAUUCCUGCACUGAAGGACGGACAAAGGCUUGAAAGUCUAUUUCUUUCUUCCUACAUUCCUUAGUAAGAUAAUCGAACCAAUUACAUGGCUGUAAUGAAGUUGGUCUUAUGUCCUUUAUUUUUAUUUUUUAGUUGUUUUCUCUGUUUGAGUACAUAAUCCUAUAUGAAGGAAAACUUACAACAUCAACCAGUUAUCCAUGGCUCCUCAUUAUUGCCUGACCAACGUUCUAAAAAUCCGAACUGAGCUUGGCCAUCUUGUUACCUUCUUGUUUGCAGAGCUAACCUGUGGAUUUUCCUACCUAGUAUACAUUCCCGUAACCUCUGGUAACAGCACCCUCAUUUUUCUUUGGGAGACCCCUGCAGGCUGUUUUGAUGCUUCCUCGGAUAAAGAAUCUUGGCCUCUCCCAGGCUAACGGAUGAGAACUGACUGAUGCUUGGCCAAGUGUCUCUUUCUUUGAAUUUGAAUGUUGAGUGCUAUGACACAGGACAAAGAAAAGUUGGAGCUAAUUGUUUCACUACAGCUCCAAGAAGGGAAUGCCCUUCAGUUCUUGUUUCCUAGGUUCACAUGCAGAUGGCAAAUAGAUCUCACAAGUUGUGUAUGUUUGUUAUGUAGCCAUAUUGCUUGAUUGUUAGAUGAGGAACUUGUGUCAAGAUUUGGAAUGUGUGACCUUGUAUGUUUUCAGUGAGAAGGGAAAAUGAUACAUAUGUGGUGUGUACAAUUAACCAUCUUUUGGAAAGAGAUUUCCAUGGGUUCAUUUAACUCGAGGCCUAAGGGUGUGAGAAUUCCUGCUUCCUGAAGUGUUGGAAAGUUAAGGUCAAAUGCUGGGUGCGUUUCAAGUUCUGAGACAAUACCAGCCGAUUUCAAAGCUGGUGUUUGUGUGUGCGUGCAUAUGUGUGUGUACAGAACUGGGGAGGAAAAGCAGCCUCUAAAACUUUGCUUUGAAAGAUGCCAAAACACUGAGCCACAUAUUUGUGCGAGAAAGAUCUGUGUGUUUGGAUGAAACCUGCCUCUUUUGUAAACACAAGGCACAGAGAGGCCUGCCUCCUCUUGCCCUGCUUUUGAACUUUUGUUCACAUUAGCAGUUUCCCUCACCUUGGCUCUUGAACUUCCCUUUGUAGUGAAAUUCACAAGUACUGUGAACUGGCAAGAAACUGUUGGAAAGAAAGGGUGUGCUGCACUAGAUUGCAUUUUUUCCUGAACACUCUGAAAUAUCAGGAAGUAUGGAACAUGAGUCAUCACUUUCUGUUGGAAACUUCAUGACCUUUACAGAGUAGGUCAAAUUCCUCCCAAGCUGUGCUUCUUCACACCCCAGUGCAUGACAGUAAAAGGGCAAAUCC
rnacentral:lncRNA from 10 species